GACGAACGCUGGCGGCGUGCUUAACACAUGCAAGUCGAACGGAAAGGCCCUGCUUUUGUGGGGUGCUCGAGUGGCGAACGGGUGAGUAACACGUGAGUAACCUGCCCUUGACUUUGGGAUAACUUCAGGAAACUGGGGCUAAUACCGGAUAGGAGCUCCUGCUGCAUGGUGGGGGUUGGAAAGUUUCGGCGGUUGGGGAUGGACUCGCGGCUUAUCAGCUUGUUGGUGGGGUAGUGGCUUACCAAGGCUUUGACGGGUAGCCGGCCUGAGAGGGUGACCGGCCACAUGGGGACUGAGGUACGGACCAGAAUCCUACGGGAGGCAGCAGUGGGGAAUAUUGCACAAUGGGCGGAAGCCUGAUGCAGCAACGCCGCGUGCGGGAUGACGGCCUUCGGGUUGUAAACCGCUUUCGCCUGUGACGAAGAGUGAGUGACGGUAAUGGGUAAAGAAGCACCGGCUAACUACGUG
rnacentral:rRNA from 1 species